AACGAACGCUGGCGGCAGGCCUAACACAUGCAAGUCGAGCGGACCCUUCGGGGUUAGCGGCGGACGGGUGAGUAACGCGUGGGAAUAUGCCCUUCUCUACGGAAUAGUCCUGGGAAACUGGGGUAACUCCGUAUAAGCCCUUUUGGGGGAAGAAUUUUCGGGGAAGGAUUUGGCCGGCUUGGAUUAGGUUGGUGGGGGGGUAAUGGCCUACCAAGGCGACGGUCCAUAGCUGGUUUGAGAGGAUGGUCAGCCACACUGGGAUUGAGACACGGCCCAGACUCCUACGGGAGGCAGCAGUGGGGAAUCUUAGACAAUGGGGGCAAACCUGAUCUAGCCAUGCCGCGUGAGUGAUGAAGGCCUUAGGGUUGUAAAGCUCUUUCAGCUGGGAAGAUAAUGACGGUACCAGCAGAAGAAGCCCCGGCUAACUCCGUG
rnacentral:rRNA from 1 species